rnacentral:rRNA from 1 species
CCUACGGGGGGCAGCAGUGGGGAAUAUUGGGCAAUGGGCGCAAGCCUGACCCAGCAACGCCGCGUGAAGGAAGAAGGCUUUCGGGUUGUAAACUUCUUUUCUCAGGGACGAAGAAAGUGACGGUACCUGAGGAAUAAGCUACGGCUAACUACGUGCCAGCAGCCGCGGUAACACGCAGGGGGCAAGCGUUAUCCGGUUUUAAUGGGAGUAAAGGGCGUGUAGGCGGGAUCGCAAGUCAGAUGUGAAAACCCAGGGCUCAACCCUGAGCCUGCAUUUGAAACUGGGGUUCUUGAGUGCUCGAGAGGUAAUCGGAAUGCCGGGUGUAGCGGUGAAAUGCGUAGAUAUACGGAGGAACACCAGUGGCGAAGGCGGAUUGCUGGACAAUAACUGACGCUGAGGCGCGAAAGCGUGGGGAGCAAACAGGAUUAGAUACCCGGGUAGUC